UGGGGAAUAUUGGACAAUGGGCGAAAGCCUGAUCCAGCCAUGCCGCGUGUGUGAAGAAGGUCUUCGGAUUGUAAAGCACUUUAAGUUGGGAGGAAGGGCAGUAAGCUAAUACCUUGCUGUUUUGACGUUACCGACAGAAUAAGCACCGGCUGACUCUGUGCCGG
rnacentral:rRNA from 1 species